rnacentral:rRNA from 1 species
CAGUCGCCGCGGUAAUACGGAGGAUCCAAGCGUUAUCCGGAAUCAUUGGGUUUAAAGGGUCCGUAGGCGGUCUUGUAAGUCAGUGGUGAAAGCCCAUCGCUCAACGGUGGAACGGCCAUUGAUACUGCAGGACUUGAAUUAUUGGGAAGUAACUAGAAUAUGUAGUGUAGCGGUGAAAUGCUUAGAGAUUACAUGGAAUACCAAUUGCGAAGGCAGGUUACUACCAAUUGAUUGACGCUGAUGGACGAAAGCGUGGGUAGCGAACAGGAUUAGAUACCGCGUAGUCCCUGUCUCUUAUACA